rnacentral:rRNA from 1 species
CAAGAAAAGCGUCUAGAGAGAGAAGUAGUGCCCGUACCGCAAACCGACACAGGUAGGUGAGGAGAGAAUCCUAAGGCCGGCGGAAGAAUUACAGUUAAGGAACUCGGCAAAUUGACCCCGUAAGUUCGCGAGAAGGGGUGCCUACGAGAGUAGGCCGCAGAGAAUAGGCCCAAGCAACUGUUUAGCAAAAACACAGGUCUCUGCUAAAGCGUAAGCUGAUGUAUAGGGGCUGACGCCUGCCCGGUGCUGGAAGGUUAAGGGGAACACUUAGCGCAAGCGAAGGUGUGAACUUAAGCCCCAGUAAACGGCGGCCGUAACUAUAACGGUCCUAAGGUAGCGAAAUUCCUUGUCAGGUAAGUUCUGACCCGCACGAAUGGCGUAAUGACUUGGGCACUGUCUCAACUGUAAAUCCGGCGAAGUUGUAGUGCGAGUGAAGAUGCUCGCUACCCGCGAUUGGACGGAAAGACCCCGUAGAGCUUUACUGUAGCUUAGCAUUGAGUUUUGGUAUUGUCUGUACAGGAUAGGUGGGAGACUAGGAAACCAGGGCGUCAGCCUUGGUGGAGUCAACCUUGGGAUACCACCCUGACAGUACUGAAAUUCUAACUGGCGGCCAUGAAUCUGGUCACAGGACAUUGUUAGGUGGGCAGUUUGACUGGGGCGGUCGCCUCCUAAAAAGUAACGGAGGCGCCCAAAGGUUCCCUCAGAACGGUCGGAAAUCGUUCGAAGAGUGCAAAGGCAGAAGGGAGCCUGACUGCGACACCCACAAGUGGAGCAGGGACGAAAGUCGGGCUUAGUGAUCCGGUGGUACCUCGUGGGAGGGCCAUCGCUCAACGGAUAAAAGCUACCUCGGGGAUAACAGGCUGAUCUCCCCCAAGAGUCCACAUCGACGGGGAGGUUUGGCACCUCGAUGUCGGCUCGUCGCAUCCUGGGGCUGAAGUAGGUCCCAAGGGUUGGGCUGUUCGCCCAUUAAAGCGGCACGCGAGCUGGGUUCAGAACGUCGUGAGACAGUUCGGUCCCUAUCCGUCGCGGGCGUAGGAAAUUUGAGAGGAGCUGUCCUUAGUACGAGAGGACCGGGAUGGACUGACCUCUGGUGUACCAGUUGUUCCGCCAGGAGCACAGCUGGGUAGCUAAGUCGGGAAUGGAUAAACGCUGAAAGCAUCUAAGCGUGAAGCCAACCUCAAGAUGAGAUUUCCCAUAGCGUAAGCUAGUAAGAUCCCUUGAAGAACACAAGGUUGAUAGGUCGGGGGUGUAAGCAUGGUAACAUGUUCAGCUGACCGAUACUAAUAGAUCGAGGGCUUGACCAA